GCGGGGGGCCGGACGGCCGCGGGGGGCAACCUUCGAGGAAAGUCCGGACUCCAUGGAGAGACGGUGCCGGGUAACGCCCGGACGGGGGGCAACCCUCGAUGGAUAGCGCCACAGAAAACAGACCGCCCUCGCGACAUCGCUCCGCGGUGCACGGGGGCAAGGGUGAAACGGUGGGGUAAGAGCCCACCGGGGGGGCGGCAACGUCUCCCGCAUGGCAAGCCCCACCGGGAGCAAUGCCGAAUAGGGAUCGCGCGCAUGGCAACAUGCAGGGAGUCUCCGUCCCAGCGAUCCGGGUUGGCAGCUCGAGGCCCCGAAGCGAUUCGGGGUCCAGAGGAAUGGUCGUCGAAGCGGACCCGUCCGCUGAACAGAAUCCGGCUUACAGGCCCCCCGCACAC
rnacentral:RNase_P_RNA from 1 species